rnacentral:lncRNA from 1 species
UUGGUUUUCCCUUGAAGAGGAAAGGGUGAUGCAGCAAAGUAGCGUAAGUAUUUCCCUCAGUUUUUGAGAACCAAGGUAUCAAUCCAGUAGGAGGCCACGCACGAGUCCCUCGCACCUACAUCAGCAAAUAAAUCCUCGCAACCAACGCGAUAAGGGGUUGUCAAUCCCUACACGGUCACUUACGAGAGUGAGAUCUGAUAGAUAUCAUAAGAUAAUAUUUUUGGUAUUUUUAUGAUAAAGAUGCAAAGUAAAGAAAACAAAAUAAAAACGGUGCUAGAAAUAACUUGUUGUCGGGAGAUUAAUAUGAUGGAAGAUAGACCUGGGGGCCAUAGGUUUCACUAGUGGCUUCUCUCAAGAGCAUAAGUAUUUACGGUGGGUGAACAAAUUACUGUUGAGCAAUAGACAGAAUUGAGCAUAGUUAUGAGAAUAUCUAGGUAUGAUCAUGUAUAUAGGCAUCACGUCCGAGACAAGUAGACCGACUCCUGCCUACAUCUACUACUAUUACUCCACACAUCGACCGCUAUCCAGCAUGCAUCUAGAGUAUUAAGUUCAUAAGAACAGAGUAACGCUUUAAGCAAGAUGACAUGAUGUAGAGGGAUAAACUCAUGCAAUAUGAUAUAAACCCCAUCUUGUUAUCCUCGAUGGCAACAAUACAAUACGUGCCUUGCUGCCCCUACUGUCACUGGGAAAGGACACCGCAAGAUUGAACCCAAAGCUAAGCACUUCUCCCAUUGCAAGAAAGAUCAAUCUAGUAGGCCAAACCAAACUGAUAAUUCGAAGAGACUUGCAAAGAUAACCAAUCAUACAUAAAAGAAUUCAGAGAAGAUUCAAAUAUUGUUCAUAGAUAAACUUGAUCAUAAACCCACAAUUCAUCGGCCUCAACAAACACACCGCAAAAGAAGAUUACAUCGAAUAGAUCUCCACGAGAGAGGGGGAGAACAUUGUAUUGAGAUCCAAAAAGAGAGAAGAAGCCAUCUAGCUAAUAACUAUGGACCUGAAGGUCUGAGGUAAACUACUCACACAUCAUCGGAGAGGCUAUGGUGUUGAUGUAGAAGCCCUCCGUGAUCGAUGCCCCCUCCGGCGGAGCUCCGGAACAGGCCCCAAGAUGGGAUCUCACGGGUACAGAAGGUUGCGGCGGUGGAAUUAGGUUUUUGGCUCCGUAUCUGGUAGUUUGGGGGUACGCAGGUAUAUAUAGGAGGAAGGAGUACGUCGGUGGAGCAACAGGGGGCCCACGAGGGUGGAGGGCGCGCCCCCCUACAAGUCCUCUGGAUCAUGUUCAUUCCAAAAAUCACGUUCCCGAAGGUUUCAUUCCGUUUGUACUCCGUUUGAUAUUCUUUUUCUGCGAAACUCUGAAAUAGGCAAAAAACAGCAAUUCUGGGUUGGGCCUACGGUUAAUAGGUUAGUCCCAAAAAUAAUAUAGAAGUGUAUAAUAAAGCCCAAUAAUGUCCAAAACAGAAUAUAAUAUAGCAUGGAACAAUAACAAAUUAUAGAUUGGAGACGUAUCAAGCAUCCCCAAGCUUAAUUCCUGCUCGUCCUCGAGUAGGUAAAUGAUAAAAACAGAAUUUUUGAUGUGGAAUGCUACUAGGCAUAAUUUCAAUGUAAUUCUUCUUAAUUGUGGUAUGAAUAUUCAGAUCCGAAAGACUCAAGAAAAAAGUUUAAUAUUGACAUAAAAAUAAUAAUACUUCAAGCAUACUAACUAAGCAAUUAUGUCUUCUCAAAAUAACAUGGCCAAAGAAAGUUAUCCGUACAAAAUCAUAUAGUCUGGCUAUGCUCUAUCUUGACCACACAAAAUAUUUAAAUCAUGCACAACCCCGAUGGCAAGCCAAGCAAUUGUUUCAUACUUUUAGUGUUCUCAAACUUUUUCAAUCUUCACGCAAUACAUGAGCGUGAGCCAUGGACAUAGCACUAUAUGUGGAAUAGAAUGGUGGUUGUGGAGAAGACAAAAAAGGGAGAAGAUAGUCUCACAUCAACUAGGCGUAUCAACGGGCUAUGGAGAUGCCCAUUAAUAGAUAUCAAUGUGAGUGAGUAGGGAUUGCCAUGCAACGGAUGCACUAGAGCUAUAAGUAUAUGAAAGCUCAACAAAAGGAACUAAGUGGGUGUGCAUCCAACUCGCUUGCUCACGAAGACCUAGGGCAUUUUGAGGAAGCCCAUCAUUGUAAUAUACAAGCCAAGUUCUAUAAUGAAAAAUUCCCACUAGUAUAUGAAAGUGAUAUCAUAGGAGACUCUCUAUCAUGAAGAUAAUGGUGCUACUUUGAAGCACAAGUGUGGUAAAAGGAUAGUAACAUUGUCCCUUCUCUCUUUUUCUCUCAUUUUUUUAUUUGGGCCUUUUUUAUGGCCUCUUUUUUUUCGUCCGGAGUCUCACCCUGACUUGUGGGGGAAUCAUAGUCUCCAUCAUCCUUUCCUCACUUGGGACAAUGCUCUAAAAAUGAUGAUCAUCACACUUUUAUUUACUUACAACUCAACAAUUACAACUCAAUACUUAGAACAAAAUAUGACUCUAUGUGAAUGCCUCCGGCGGUGCGCCGGGAUAUGCAAUGAAUCAAGAGUGACAUGUAUGGAAGAAUUAUGAACGGUGGCUUUGCCACAAAUACAAUCUCAACUACAUGAUCAUGCGAAGCAAUAUGACAAUGAUGGAGCGUGUCAUAAUAAAUGAAACAGUGGUAAGUUGCAUGGCAAUAUAUCUCGGAAUGGCUAUGGAAAUGCCAUGAUAGGUAGGUAUGGUGGCUGUUUUGAGGAAGGUAUAUGGUGGGUGUAUGAUACCGGCGAAAAGUGUGCGGUAUUAGAGAGGCUAGAAAUAGUGGAAGGAGGAAAAGUGCGUAUAAUCCAUGGACUCAACAUUAGUCAUAAAGAACUCAUAUACUUAUUGCAAAAAUCUACAAGUUAUCAAAGCAAAGUAUUACGCGCACGCUCCUAGGGGGAUAGAUUGGUAGGAAAAGAACAUCGCUCGUCCCCGACCGCCACUCAUAAGGAAGACAAUCAAUAAAUAAAUCAUGCUCCGACUUCAUCACAUAACGGUUCACCAUACGUCCAUGCUACGGGAAUCACAAACUUUAACACAAGUAUUUCUCAAAUUCAAAACUACUCAACUAGCAUGACUCUAAUAUCAUCAUCUUCAUAUCUCAAAACAAUUAUCAAGCAUCAAACUUCUCAUAGUAUUCAACACACUCAUAAGAAUUUUUCUUUUUUAUUUACUAAUAUUGAAUGCCUAUUAUUGUUAAAGCAAACUACCAUGCUGUUUUGUAGGACUCUCAAAAUAAUAUAAGUGAAGCAUGAGAGAUCAAUAGUUUCUAUAAAACAAAAUCACCACCGUGCUCUAAAAGAUAUAAGUGAAGCACUAGAGCAAAAACUAUAUAACUCAAAAGAUAUAAGUGAAGCACAUAGAUUAUUCUAAUAAAUUCCGAAUCAAGUGUGUCUCUCUCAAAAGGUGUGUACAGAAAGGAUGAUUGUGGUAAACUAACAAAUGAAGACUCAAAUAAUACAAGACGCUCCAAGCAAAACACAUAUCAUGUGGUGAAUAAAAAUAUAGCUCCAAGUAAAGUUACCGAUGGAAGUAGACGAAAGAGGGGAUGCCUUCCGGGGCAUCCCCAAGCUUUGGCUUUUGGGUGUCCUUAGAUUAUCUUGGUGUGCCAUGGGCAUCACCAAGCUUAGGCUCUUGCCACUCCUUGUUCCAUAAUCCAUCAAAUCUUUCACCCAAAACUUGAAAACUUCACAACACAAAACUCAGCAGAAAAUCUCGUAAGCUCCGUUAGCGAAAGAAAACAAAAGACCACUUCAAGGUACUGUAAUGAACUCAUUCUUUAUUUAUAUUUGUGUUAAACCUACUGUAUUCCAACUUCUCUAUGGUUUAUAAACUAUUUUACUACCAAUAGAUUCAUCAAAAUAAGCAAACAACACAUGAAAAACAGAAUCUGUCAAAAACAGAACAGUCUGUAGUAAUCUGUAACUAACGCAAACUUCUGGAACUCCAAAAAUUCAGCCAAAAUAGGAUGACCUAGACAAUUUGUUUAUUGAUCAGCAGCAUUUGGAAUCAAUAUUUUAUCACGUUCUGGUGAGUUUUAACAAUUAUUUUCAUGAACAGAAAGUUUCUGGAAUUUUCUGCAAGAUCAAAUAACUAUCAUCCAAGAAGAUCCUAUAGGUUUAACUUGGCACAAACACGAAUUAAAACAUAAAAACACAUCUAACCAGAGGCUAGAUCAAAGAUUUAUUACUAAACAGAAGCAAAAAGCAAAAAACCAAAAAUAAAAUUGGGUUGCCUCCCAACAAGCGCUACCGUUUAACGCCCCUAGCUAGGCAUAAAAGCAAGGAUAGAUCUAGGUGUUGCCAUCUUUGGUAGGCAAUCCAUAAGUGGAUCUCAUAAUAGAUUCAUAAGGUAAUUUUAUUUUCUUUAUAGGGAAGUAUUCCAUGCCUUUCUUUAAUGGGAAUUGGAAUCUAAUAUUCCCUUCCUUCAUAUCAAUAAUUGCACCAAUCGUUCUAAGGAAAGGUCUACCAUGAAUAAUAGGACAUGAAGGAUUGCAAUCUAUAUCAAGAACAAUAAAAUCUACGGGCACAUAGUUCCUAUUUGCAACAAUAAGAACAUCAUUAAUUCUUCCCAUAGGUUUCUUAAUAGUGGAAUCUGCAAGGUGCAAGUUUAGAGAGCAAUCAUCAAAAUCACGGAAACCUAGCAAAUCACACAAAGUCUUUGGAAUCGUGGAAACACUAGCACCCAAAUCACACAAAGCAUAGCAUUCAUGAUAUUUAAUUUUAAUUUUAAUAGUAGGUUCCCAUUCAUCAUAAAGUUUUCUAGGGAUAGAAACUUCCAACUCAAGUUUUUCUUCAUAAGAUUGCAUCAAAGCAUCAACGAUAUGUUUGGUAAAGGCUUUAUUUUGACUAUAAGCAUGAUGAGAAUUUAGCACGGAUUGCAACAAGGAAAUACAAUCUAUCAAACAACAAUUAUCAUAAUUAAAUUCCUUGAAAUCCAAAAUAGUGGGUUCAUUAAUAUCUAAUGUUUUGAUCUCUUCAAUCCCACUUUUAUCAACUUUAGCAUCAAGAUCUAAAAACUCUGAAUUUCUGGAACGCCUUCUAGGUAAAGGUAGAUCAAAUUUAGUCCCAUCAUUAUCAAGAUUCAUAUUGCAAAACAAAGAUUUAAUAGGGGACACAUCAAUAACUUUUAGAUCUUCAUCUUUAUUUUCAUAGAAAUUUGAAGAACACGCUUUCACAAAGCAAUCUUUCUUAGCACUCAUCCUAGCGCUUCUUUCUUUGCACUCAUCAAUGGAAAUUCUCAUGGCUUUGAGAGACUCAUUGAUAUCAUGCUUAGGAGGAAUGAUCUAAGUUUUAAAGAAUCAACAUCAAGGGAAAUUCUAUCAACGUUCCUAGCCAAUUCAUCAACUUUAAGCAAUUUUUCUUCAAGCAAAGCAUUGAAAUUCUUUUGUGAAUUCAUAAAUUCCUUAACACUAGUCUCAAAUUCAGAAGGCAUCUUAUUAAAGUUUCCAUAAGAAUUGUUGUAGGAAUUACCAUAAUUAUUAGAGGAAUUACUAGGAUAAGGCCUAGGAUUAAAGUUUCCUCUAUACGCGUUGUUACCAAAAUUAUUCCUACCAACAAAAUUCACAUCCAUAGAUUCAUUAUUAUUCUCAAUCAAAGUAGACAAAGGCAUAUCAUUAGGAUCAGAAGAAACACUCUUAGUAGCAAAUAAUUUCAUAAGUUCAUCCAUCUUUCCACUCAAAACAUUAAUUUCUUCUAUCGCAUGCACUUUUUUAUUAGUAGAUCUUUCAGUGUGCCAUUGAGAAUAAUUAACCAUAAUAUUAUCUAGGAGUUUAGUAGCUUCUCCUAAAGUGAUUUCCAUAAAAGUGCCUCCCGCGGCCGAAUCUAAAAGAUUUCUAGAAGCAAAAUUCAAUCCGGCAUAAAAAAAUUGUAUAAUCAUCCACAAAUUCAAACCAUGCAUAGGGCAAUUACGUAUCAUUAAUUUCAUCCUCUCCCAAGCUUGUGCAACAUGUUCAUGAUCAAGUUGCUUAAAAUUCAUAAUAUCGUUUCUAAGAGAGAUGAUCUUAGCGGGAGGAAAAUAUUUAGAGAUAAAAGCAUCUUUGCACUUAUUCCAAGAAUCAAUACUAUUUUUAGGCAAGGACGAAAACCAAGCUUUAGCACGAUCUCUAAGCGAAAAAGGAAAUAGCUUCAAUUUAACAAUAUCGUUGUCUACAUCUUUCUUCUUUUGCAUAUCACACAAAUCAACGAAGCUAUUUAGAUGGGUAGCCGCAUCUUCACUAGGAAGGCCGGCGAAUUGAUCUUUCAUGACAAAAUUCAACAAAGCAGCAUUGAUUUCACAAGAUUCAGUAUCGGUAAGAGGAGCAAUCGGAGUGCUAAGGAAAUCAUUAUUGUUGGUAUUGGUAAAGUCACAUAAUUUGGUAUUAUCUUGAGCCAUCGUGACAAGCAAGCAAUCCAACACACGAGCAAACAAGAAGCAAGCAAAAAAGAAGCGAACGAAAAAAAGAGGGCGAAUAAAACGGCAAGGGUGAAGUGGGGGAGAGGAAAACAAGAGGCAAAUGGCAAAUAAUGUAAUGCAGGAGAUAAGGGUUUGUGAUGGGUACUUGGUAUGUUGACUUAUGCGUAGACUCCCCGGCAACGGUGCCAGCAAUGGCUCGUUGUCGGGAGUCCAAAUCUUGACUUGACCUUGCAUGAGCCUCCCCGACAACUGCGCCAGAAAUCCUUCUUGCUACCUCUUGAGCAUUGCGUUGGUUUUCCCUUGAAGAGGAAAGGGUGAUGCAGCAAAGUAGCGUAAGUAUUUCCCUCAGUUUUUGAGAACCAAGGUAUCAAUCCAGUAGGAGGCCACGCACGAGUCCCUCGCACCUACACAAACAAAUAAAACCUCGCAACCAACACGAUAAGGGGUUGUCAAUCCCUACACGAUCACUUACGAGAAUGAGAUCUGAUAGAUAUGAUAAGAUAAUAUUUUUGGUAUUUUUAUGAUAAAGAUGCAAAGUAAAGAAAACAAAAUAAAAAC